rnacentral:lncRNA from 1 species
UUAUAGGCAUCAAACAACAUAAUCCUUGCACAACGGAAUGAGGGGGGGUUGACGUUUUUCGCAGAUAAAGUUUUCAUUCCUUUGUGUGAAAAUUAUGUCAUAGCAAUAGAACAAUGAGCCCCUUGAGGCUAAUUAAAGUUUUACUCAUUACACAACUUACUAAACAAACAUACUUGACCUUUGCUAACUACAACAAAAUCUUCGCAAAAGGAAUAAAGGGGGGGUUGACAUUUUUUCAAGGAAAAAACAGCAUUUAUUCCUAUAUGCUACGAUUUUUGUUUCAAGUCAGAAUGACAAUUCGAUUACAUGACUAGGUUUCGAACCUCAAAACUCUGCAGCAUCACACACAUAGGCAAAGUCAAAC